CGCAUAGAUUUAUAACUAAUAGCUGAAGAAAUGCACGUACGCCACACCACACGUCGUUGAUUUUAGAAUUAUUAUCAACGUCUGAAUGAAGUUCCCCUUUUCCAAUAACCUUGACGAAGGUCAAUUGACUCGUCAUAUUGCUUGUGGCUUACUAUACUAGUCUUGAACAGGCUACGUGCAAAUGCGAGCGUAUUUUUCUAUAUCUUUACGUAUGAACCAUAACGGAAGAAGUAGUUCCCCUUUAUCUAUAUAAAUAAAUUAUUGCGCAGCUACUCUCGAACAGGACAUAAUUACUUCUGUCAUAAAAGAGAAAGUUUUCGUGAAUUUCGUGUAUUUAUUAUUUAAUUGAUAAACGUCUCAGCUACAAGUCCACCAAGUGUAUUCAGUUGAUCAUGUCGACAAAUCAGAAGUUCAAUGUGAAAACCUUUGGUUUUGGUAUGGUAGCUAUGAAAAAAUUCCCUGAGUUAAUACCAUUGGUGGGAUUUAUAUCAGCUGCUGUGAUUGGAUGUGGUGCUUAUAUGGCCUACGCUCUUGUUACUAAACCAGAUGUUAGAAUAAAUAAAUCAAGUGAGUUACCUCCAUGGGAAAGGGUUGAGCCUACUGAAAGGAGAAAGUUUUUUGUCAUCAAUGAAAAGUACGAAGAAAAUGAGCAGCUGUCUAAAUUAAGAAAAGAGAUUGGUAGCUUUAAAUGUUAAACGGACGAGUCUACUUAAAUUUUGCUUUGGAUUAUGAGAGUGGUGUCCCCUUUACAUUUAAUGUCCGCUAUUUUGUGGCCUAUGAAUUAAUCAGCAGUGCGAGUAGCCUAUAUAUACAAAAAAGGACACGAAUUGUGAAUGAAAGUAUUAAUUAUAGGGAGGGGAUGUUAUUAGUCUAUAAUCAUCAAGUUAUAGCAUUUAAAUUCAGAUCUCCCUAAGUUAUAUCAAAAAACAUGUGAAUAUCCUCAUCACAUAUCGUCGCCCCCCCCCCCACACACACACACACCCUACAACUGUCCGAACAAUAAACACCCCCUCUUUAUCUGCGGAAAUGAAUUUGUAUUCGAAUAGAUCUUCCCCCACCCCUAACCAAUAGAAUUAACAAGUCAGAUUAAACAUAUUCCACACGUUUAUCAAUUUUGAGUUAAACACGAUUUCGUUUUGUUUUUUAUCGUUAAGAGUUCGAAAGUAACAAAAACAAAAUAGGUUUAUAUUUUUAUCAGAUUGUCCCGAUUUAUUAGAUUUUGACUUGAAAAUGUUUAUAUUCGCAUUUCAAAGAUAUAACGAUAGGUAUGUUUAAUUCUUUUUCAGCACAAAUUUACUUGUAUACAUUUUAUUUUUCAUGGUUUUAAUGUUUGGUAAUAGUCUAGAGAUGCACAGAGUCCUUUUUCUUUUAUUUCAGAAUGUAUUUCAGAAUAUAUUAAAGAAUAUAUUAAAGCAUAUAUUUAUUAUUUAGAAAUAAUUUAUUAUUUAGUUUGAAUGAUAGUGGUUGCAUCGAGUGCUGAUUUUAUUAUUCAAAUAUUUGAUUCAGUUGAAAUCAUAAAUUAAAAGCUAUUGACCCAGUCCUAUAUUUAGAUUUUGACAAGAUUAACGUGUGUUUUCUUUUUUCUUAUUUUGUAAAUCGUUUUCUUAGAAGUUAAUCCAUAAAAUUAUAAAUAUUUACACUUUUCAAACACAGCGUAAAUACAAAAAUUUGUAAAGCCCUAUCUCCACUACAAGAUAUAGAUCAAGCCCUGUUACCACUAGAGGCUACAUAGAUCAACAACCUGUUUCUACCAUAAUGUAACGUAGUUGUUCUAAAUGUUGUUACUGAAUAAAUGUUUUAAAAAAUGAAUGCUGUUGUAAAUAAGAUAUUGUGAUAUAUAAAAUAUACAGAUAGAAAUAAA